UAAGAAAACAGAUUAUUUCUUUUGCAUACAUGAAGCCAGGAAAGGACAACAAUUUAUCACGGACAUCACUCUGAGUGCCUCUGCGCUGCCUAGGGUGACUCUUGGCCUCUCACUGAAGCAUUCCCGCACGUCGUGGAUGGUCAGUUGGAAGAUGUCCAGAAUAGUGCUGGGGAAGCUACUCUGAGAUGCAUGGCAAGGCCUCCGUCGUGGUGUCCUUCUGCGUACAUGCUAACCCUGGAAACCAAACUCCUUGUACUUGCUGGCCAUGUCAUUUCGGAACAACUCCAGAGCCUUCUUCAUGGCAGCCUGGGAAUCGGCCCCAAAGUCUGCGGCAUGUUUUUCAGCAAUGACCUUGAUAAUGACUUCAGAAAUGAACUCCAGAUAUUUGACUGGGAUUUUGUGCUUCGUGGCAUGGGUUUGAGCCAGGGGCUUCAGCUCU
rnacentral:lncRNA from 1 species